rnacentral:rRNA from 1 species
GUUGCAUGGCUGUCGUCAGCUCGUGUCGUGAGAUGUUCGGUUAAGUCCGCUAACGAGCGCAACCCUCGUCGUAUGUUAUAUGUGUCAUACGAGACUGCCGGUAAAAGCCGGAGGAAGGUGAGGAUGAUGUCAAGUCAGCAUGACCUUUAUAUCCAGGGCUACACACACGCUACAAUGGUCUGUACAAUGGGUAGCCAAGCCGCGAGGCGGAGCCAAUCCUGGAAGCAGGCCUCAGUUCAGAUUGCAGUCUGCAACUCGACUGCAUGAAGCCGGAGUUGCUAGUAACCGCAGGUCAGCAAUACUGCGGUGAAUACGUUCCCGGGUCUU